AUUCAGCUGAAGAGUCCCAAAUAGGACGAAACGCGCGUCCUGGAU
rfam:Schistosoma haematobium scaffold799_29, whole genome shotgun sequence.